rnacentral:lncRNA from 1 species
AGACUCAAGUAGAUUGCAGUUUAUAGCAUUUUGUAGGUCUUAUUUUAAAGCCCAGUUGACAAUGGUUUUAGGAAUUAAAACAGAUGUGACUGUAGAAUUUUGAUCCAUACAUACAGGACAUAUGAGAAACCUCCAAGCUAUGUGGAAAUCCACACGUAUACUGAGAAACUUUCAAACCAAAGAGGGCAAAGCAAGGGAGGCUGCGGCCUGUGGAGAGACCAGGCCAGGACUGCCAGGCUCCUGGGGCCUUGGAGGCACUCGGGAAGGGUGGGUUUCCUGAGCUUGCUCUCCAGAAAAGCUUUCCUCUUCCUCCCAGCCCAGGUGAAGCAAAUCUCUCAAACAGGAUGGCCUCAGGGUGAGCAGAGCCACUGGGCCGCAGGGGAUCUUUCCUGGACUGUUGGGGGAACUGACAACCUCCUCACGGGCACGAUGGGAGUCCCUUCUUUGAAAAGAUCCCAGUGAU